CUUAACACAUGCAAGUCGAGCGAAGCACCUUGACGGAUUUCUUCGGAAUGAAGUUUUGGUGACUGAGCGGCGGACGGGUGAGUAACGCGUGGGUAACCUGCCUCAUACAGGGGGAUAACAGUUGGAAACGGCUGCUAAUACCGCAUAAGCGCACUGUACCGCAUGGUACCGUGUGAAAAACUCCGGUGGUAUGAGAUGGACCCGCGUCUGAUUAGCUAGUUGGUGGGGUAACGGCCUACCAAGGCGACGAUCAGUAGCCGACCUGAGAGGGUGACCGGCCACAUUGGGACUGAGACACGGCCCAAACUCCUACGGGAGGCAGCAGUGGGGAAUAUUGCACAAUGGGGGAAACCCUGAUGCAGCGACGCCGCGUGAGCGAUGAAGUAUUUCGGUAUGUAAAGCUCUAUCAGCAGGGAAGAAAAUGACGGUACCUGACUAAGAAGCCCCGGCUAACUACGUGCCAGCAGCCGCGGUAAUACGUAGGGGGCAAGCGUUAUCCGGAUUUACUGGGUGUAAAGGGAGCGUAGACGGCAUGGCAAGCCAGAUGUGAAAGCCCGGGGCUCAACCCCGGGACUGCAUUUGGAACUGUCAGGCUAGAGUGUCGGAGAGGAAAGCGGAAUUCCUAGUGUAGCGGUGAAAUGCGUAGAUAUUAGGAGGAACACCAGUGGCGAAGG
rnacentral:rRNA from 1 species